rnacentral:lncRNA from 1 species
GUCCGUUAUGCAUCCGUUGGAGAUCCGGUAGACCAAUUCACCAACGGACGUCUACCGGACGCCUAACGGACGCCUAACGGAUAAAACGGAUGUGAAACGGACAUUGACGGAAGGAUAACGGAUAAAACGGAUGCCUACCGGAUGUAAAACGGACAAAUGCCAAUUGAAAUUUCGCGUUAGAAAUGCCAAUAAUUGGUAUGUCAGAUUUUCUUGAGUGUCAUGAAUAUUUAUUAUUCGUGAUGGAUCUUGGAGUAAGAGCACGUCUUCGCUACCAAACAGCUCUUAUUCAGGCCAGACUCAACUUAAAUGUAGCAAAUAUAAACCUUAUAGCUGUCGAAAGGAGAAGAAGGAGAAGACAAAGGAGAUGGUGGACACGACCAUGGCUUAGUCCUGAAAGACGAUGCAGUUUUGGUCUAUAUGACCAACUCAUGACCGAACUUAGGUGGGAGGAUCGGCAGUCCUUUGUACACUUCCUUCGAAUGCCCACAGAGAUGUUCGACGAGAUAUUGCAAGUUGGACCUCGCAUAGCCAAGCAGAAUACCUUUUACAGAAAUCCACUGGAACCAGGACUCAAGUUAGCAAUUACACUUAGAC